AAUAUCAAAGGUGAGCCCGUACAGGAUGGACCCGCGUCUGAUUAGCUAGUUGGUAAGGUAACGGCUUACCAAGGCGACGAUCAGUAGCCGACCUGAGAGGGUGAUCGGCCACAUUGGAACUGAGACACGGUCCAAACUCCUACGGGAGGCAGCCGUGGGGAAUAUUGCACAAUGGGCGAAAGCCUGAUGCAGCAACGCCGCGUGAGUGAUGAAGGCCUUCGGGUCGUAAAACUCUGUCCUCAAGGAAGAUAAUGACGGUACUUGAGGAGGAAGCCCCGGCUAACUACGUGCCAGCAGCCGCGGUAAUACGUAGGGGGCUAGCGUUAUCCGGAUUUACU
rnacentral:rRNA from 1 species